AUCGGGGGAGCAUCCCCGCGAUGUCCUAUGCCCCCUUCAGAGAUGUACGGGGACCCCCUAUGCACCGAACCCAAUACGUUCAUUCCCCGUACGAUCGUCCUGGCUGGAACCCUCGGUUCUGCAUCAUCUCGGGGAACCAGCUGCUCAUGCUGGAUGAGGAUGAGAUACACCCCCUUCUGAUCCGCGACCGGAGGAGCGAGUCCAGCCGAAACAAACUGCUGAGACGCACCGUCUCUGUGCCAGUGGAGGGGCGGCCCCACGGCGAGCA
rnacentral:lncRNA from 1 species